rnacentral:rRNA from 1 species
CGCGAUUCGCCCUUGGGGUGCAGCAGGCGCGAAAACUUUACAAUGCUGGCAACAGCGAUAAGGGGACCUCGAGUGCCAGGAUACAAUCUUGGCUGUCGCGAUGCCUAAAAAGCAUUGCAUAGCAAGGGCCGGGCAAGACCGGUGCCAGCCGCCGCGGUAACACCGGCGGCUCGAGUGGUAACCGCUAUUAUUGGGUCUAAAGGGUCUGUAGCCGGCCGGAUAAGUCUUUUGGGAAAUCCAGCUGCUCAACAGUUGGGCUUUCAGAAGAUACUGUUCGGCUCGAGGCCGGGAGAGGUGAGAGGUACUUCAGGGGUAGGGGUGAAAUCUUGUAAUCCUUGAAGGACCACCAGUGGCGAAGGCGUCUCACCAGAACGGAUCUGACGGCAAGGGACGAAAGCUAGGGGCACGAACCGGAUUAGAUACCCGGGUAGUCCUAGCCGUAAACGAUACUCGCUAGGUGUCAGCCACGGUGCGACCGUGGUUGGUGCCGUAGGGAAGCCGUGAAGCGAGCCACCUGGGAAGUACGGCCGCAAGGCUGAAACUUAAAGGAAUUGGCGGGGGAGCAC